GUGAGUGUAGAUGAUGCAGAUCGCAGAGUGGCUGGAAGUCAGAAUUUUGUGUUGCUGUUGCUUUUGCUAUGGGUCUUUUUCCCAUUCCGGUGUGUGAACGGAUUGGUACGGGCCCUUGCAUUAGAGCCACGGAAACAGCUCUGAAUUGGAAAAACUCUCCCUGAGUUCUGGGCAGGGGGAGAACCAGAAGUUAUUUUCUUCAGGACCGUGGAAUGUACCCCAGGGAGUCCCAAAAGUCAGACAGAAGAUGCUUCAGACCAGUAACUAUAGCCUGGUGCUCUCCCUGCAGUUUCUGUUGCUGUGCUAUGACCUGUUCGUCAAUUCCUUCUCGGAGCUACUACGAAUGGCUCCUGUUAUCCAGCUCGUGCUGUUCAUGCUGGCCUGGUCAACCUCCUGUUCCAUAAGUUCAAAGGGACCAUCAUUCUGACGUCUGUGUACCUCGCCCUCAGCAUCUCCCUGCAUGUGUGGGUCAUGAACGUGCGAUGGAAAGACUCCAGCAGCUUCAGAUGGACAAACGGCCUGCAGACACUGUUUGUAUUCCAGAGACUAGCCGCAGUGCUGUACUGCUAUUUCUACAAAAGGACAGCCGUGAGAUUGGGUGACCCCCGCUUCUACCAGGACUCACUGUGGCUGCGCAAGGAGUUCAU
rnacentral:lncRNA from 1 species